UCGACAGAGAAGAAAGAUCCCAAAGAGGAGGCAGGAAAGUCAUCUUUGUGGUAGGAGGAAAACUUUGCGGGUGUGUUGUCCUAGUGGCCAAGCAAAGACAGCGAUUCAAGCAGCAGGGAGCGUCUGUUUUAAAUGCCGUUUUAAAUGCUGCCAAGAGCUCAAAAAAGAGGACUAAGAAAGAAUCAUUCAAGCUUAAAAAUUCAGUGAGAAAAUUUCAGUGGCUUGUUGGAGAAGAACCCAGAGUGCAUCUGCACCCAGAUAUUGGCAUCUAAGGAGAAAAGGAUGCCCAUUUCCUACUUAGGCUUUUUGUUGGAAGAUUUCUUUCCUUGCUGGUGGAAGGUUUCCUCCUCCUUGGAAGGUUUUUAGAGCACAGAGAGAUUACUAUUCUAAAGGAAGCUGUCAUCUUAUGAGGACACUCAGGGAGUCCUGUGGAGAUAUAGACAUGAAAACUAACUGGAUCUUCUACCAAUAUCAGCACCAACCUUCCUUUCAUGAGAUUGAGCCAACAUAGAAUGGGAUUCUGUGAGACAAGUUAUCAACAGAAUGCCAUGUGUUAGUUACCAAUUCCUGGGGAGGGCCCUAAACCCUUCUGCCUGCUGUGUCUUGGUAUUGGAGUCACCAAGGAAAAUACAACUCAGUCAAGUACUGGAUGGAACAAUACUUUAAUUACAUAGAGAAAAGAUAGAAUGACAUGACUUCAUGUUGCAGUGGAAGUAUGCUUUGUGCAGAGAUGAGAAAGUACUCAUUACACAUGAAACCAGGAAAGAUUUUCCCACACCAAGUGAUAAGCCCAACAUAGGGUAUAUGGGCUCUUGAUCUCUUGGGUGUUCAGGACCAAGGUCCAUUCUUUAUGCAUCUGAGUGUGACUUGGAAAACACUGCAUGCACAAGAGUACUUGCCUAACAACAGCCAAAUCUUCAGAUGAUUGCGGUGUUGGCCAAAGUUUUGACUGCAGCCUCAUCAGAGACCCUACACUGGAGCCUAGCUAAGCUAUUGCUGGAUUCCUGACCCACAGUAACUGUGUGAUAUGAUACAUGUUUAUUGUUAUUUUAAGCCAUUAAAUUGUAAAAUAAUCUAUCAUUCAGUGAUACACAACCAUAAAAUUUUGAUUGAUUAGUGGAUGAGAAACAAGAUGAUGGAUUAAGGACAUUUAAAAUCCCAUGGAUAACUAUCACUUUCUAGGAUUUAGAAAAAAUUCUGUCUCGGGGGCUGAGAUGAAGAGGAUUCUCAUGUCAUGAAAACUAAGUGUUUUGUGAUUCCAUAAAUCUGAAACAAUGGCCAAGAAAGACACUUUGUUGCAACUGCUUGAAUUUUUCAGAGCUUGAAAUGAUUAUGCGGUUAUGAUCUGUGAUAGAGAAUCAGGGACAUAUGAUUGUCACUUCUUCUGAGUUAGAGUUGACAAAAUUUAUUUCUUCAGAAGUUUACUGGAUAGGGCAUAUUGGGUUCAUCAUUAUUAAAGGGUGAGAUAAUUUUCUGCUUAUUUGUGGGUCAUUUGGGGAUGACUUAGAUUUAUUUAAAGAAAUAUUAGUCUAGUUUUACAUCUUGAUUACUUAAUUAUUUUUAAAAAUACCUUUGUACUUACCAAUCUUCUAGCAAGGAAAGAUAGAAUGUAAACUACUGUCAGAGAUAUUAACUUUGAAGUAAUGCCCAAUCAGAUUUUUAAAAAUUCUAUGUAAGAAAAAAAUUAUUUAUGCAUGGUCAUCUGAAGAUUUCCUCAAAUUAGUAUUUCCAUUUAUACCUUAAGAGCCUAGGGGACAAAAAAAGAGCAAAUUAAAUCCAAUAUAGAUGAAAGGAAAUAAUAAAGAUCUGUGAAAAUCAGUAAGUAGAGAAUGGAAAUAAAAAGAUAGAAAUCAAUAAAACCAAAAGCUAGAUCUUUGAGAAAGUAAUUAAAAUUGGUAACAUUUAUCCAGGCUGAUGAAGAUAAAGAUGGAAGAAACAAGAGAGAUAAUUUUAUGAUAAAAUCAAUAGAUUUUUAUAAGGAUAAUAAAGGAAUAUUAUGAAUAAUUUGGGGGGAUAAUUCAAAUAACUUGGAUGAAGUGGAUAAAUUCCUUGAAAGACAAUACUAACAAAGUUUUCUCAACAAGAAACAGGUAAGGUAUAUUGCCUUUUCAUCUAUUAAAUACACUGAAUCCAAGGUUUGAAGCCUUCCCACAAAGACAACUCUAGGUCUUUAUGGCAUUAUCCGUGUAUUCUACUGAACAUGUAAGGAAGAAAUAAUACCCACUCUAUAUAAAUUAUUUCAGAAAUUUAAAAAAUAUAUUAGCCAUUAGGGAAGUAACCAAUUACAACCAGAAUGAGAUACCACUUGCUAUUGAAUGACUGUUUGUGUGCCUCCCAAAUUCAUGUAUUGAAAACUUAAAUAUUCAAUGAGAUACUAUCUGGAGGCAGGACAUUUGGGAGGUAAUAAGGUCCUGAGGGUGAAGCCAUCAAAUGGGAUUAAUGACCCUAUAAAAAUUGCCACCAGAGAGAUAAUCUCUCUGGUGGCUCUAUGAAGAUACAACAAGUUGGUGGCCAUCUGCAAAUCAGGAAGAGAAUUUUCACUAGGAACCAAACUGUUCCACUCUUUGAGACUGUAACUUUCCGGCCUCCAAAAUUGUGAGGAAAUAAAUAUUUGUUGUUUAACGGGGUGCCUGGGUGGAACAGUCAGUUAAGCACCCCUUAGUUUCUGCUUAGGUCAUGAUUUCAGGGUCAUGAUAAUGAGCUGGAUUUGGGCUCAAUGCUCAGCACAGAGCUGCUUAAGUUUCUUUCUUCCUCUCCAAUGGCCCCUUCCCCCCAUGCAUACAUGCUCUUUCUUUCUUUUUCUCUCUAAAAUAAAUAAAUCUUAAGUAA